rnacentral:rRNA from 1 species
CCUACGGGAGGCAGCAGUGAGGAAUAUUGGUCAAUGGCCGAGAGGCUGAACCAGCCAAGUCGCGUGAGGGAAGACGGCCCUACGGGUUGUAAACCUCUUUUGUCUGGGAGCAAAGAGAGUCACGUGUGACUCAUUGAGAGUACCCGAUGAAAAAGCAUCGGCUAACUCCGUGCCAGCAGCCGCGGUAAUACGGAGGAUGCGAGCGUUAUCCGGAUUUAUUGGGUUUAAAGGGUGCGUCAGCGGAGUGUGAAGUCAGCGGUCAAAUUUGGGGGCUCAACCCCGAUAUUGCCGUUGAACCUCGCACCCUUGAGUACGGUAGAGGUGGGCGGAAGGCGUGGUGUAGCGGUGAAAGGCAAAG